CUGGAACAAACUUCACAUUGUACAGCUGCAGUGAAAGCACCGUCCCUCUGAGACCCUCUAGAAUUUGAUUAAGGUAUUGAUUCCAUCCAGGACCAGUGAGUAUUAUUCAGGGUAGAACUCUGGUCUGAGAAGUAAGAGAGAACUUUCUGACUUGCCUUGAAACCAGGAUGCUUCCUCCUGAUUUAUUUAAAUUUAGAUACUUCACCAGUCAGAAGAAAAAAACUAGGAAGACAAUAGGCACAUUGUGACGUUGGCAGACCAAAGCCCGCUCAUGCCAGGGCCCUCAGGCCCCACUGAACACGGACAAUAGCUGGAAAACAGUCUGGGUUGCCUGUGUGUUAGUAUUGUUCUUAAAAUAGAUAUUAGAGUUAUAAGAAUGUGUUUAGUGCUUAGACUUUAUGAAAUACUUGUAAGUUACUGCAUGAAUUAAUCUCACUUAUUAUAUUUGUAUCCUGUGUUACAAAGCAAA